CCGGCCACAUUGGGACUGAGAUACGGCCCAGACUCCUACGGGAGGCAGCAGUGGGGAAUAUUGCACAAUGGGCGGAAGCCUGAUGCAGCAACGCCGCGUGCGGGAUGACGGCCUUCGGGUUGUAAACCGCUUUCGCCUGUGACGAAGCGUGAGUGACGGUAAUGGGUAAAGAAGCACCGGCUAACUACGUGCCAGCAGCCGCGGUGAUACGUAGGGUGCGAGCGUUGUCCGGAUUUAUUGGGCGUAAAGGGCUCGUAGGUGGUUGAUCGCGUCGGAAGUGUAAUCUUGGGGCUUAACCGGCAGCGGGAAUUCGAUACGGGUUGACUUGAGGAAGGUAGGGGAGAAUGGAAUUCCUGGUGGAGCGGUGGAAUGCGCAGAUAUCAGGAGGAACACCAGUGGCGAAGGCGGUUCUCUGGGCCUUUCCUGACGCUGAGGAGCGAAAGCGUGGGGAGCGAACAGGCUUAGAUACCCUGGUAGUCCACGCUGUAAACGGUGGGUACUAGGUGUGGGGUCCAUUCCACGGGUUCCGUGCCGUAGCUAACGCUUUAAGUACCCCGCCUGGGGAGUAC
rnacentral:rRNA from 1 species